CGCCUGCCGCACAGAAUAUGCUCGGCCCUGGGGGACGGCCGGCCCGCUGUGUACGUUCCCAGCCAGCAAACGGUGCAGAGACGAGCCUUGCGAGUCGCCGCUCCGCAGGCCAGAUGGAUGGGUGCAAAGUUACCAUUGGGAAUUCAUCCCCAGUUCCCUAGGGCUCCGUAGGGCGGACGAUUCGAGCGAUGGCCGAGCACCGCUGUCGCUGCAAAGGCAGGGAGCUGAGGUCUUCGGACAGCUAGCCCCUUCGUACACCUGCUGUGUAGAGUAGAAGGAGUUGAUUAGAUCGAGUCGAGUCAACUUAAUCUGUUGCUGCACCUUGAAAUCCUAAUCUGCAGCACUGCCGACCACAAGACCUCCAAAAUCCCGAGAUUGGCUUAAAAACCAUGAGAUUUUUUCUUUUUAAAAAAAAUACAUGGCUUUUAGGUUCUUG